AAAGGUCAAAGCCAAAAUCGACAGGUUACCUUGUGUUCUUUUUGGCUGCUCACCAGGAAGGAGAGGCAUCAAAAUGACAAGCAGAAAAUUCAAAGGGCAUUUCAGGCACAGUAAGCAGACACUUGGGCUGGAACUACACAAUAAUGGGCACACUUAAUAUUUCUCCAAAGUACGUAGACAUUUGGUUAGAAGUUAUUAAUCAUAUUUGUUUAAGUGGAAGUUGGUUGCAACUAUUUUUUUUUUCUUUUUGGACAAGCACAUGAAAGGGAAGAAAAUAUGUUGAAUACUAUUCAAGUCCACAAGGAAUGAGAAUUGGCUCAGGUUUUCUUAAUAUACUCUCCUCUCUGUGGACCUCAAAUGGACAGAACAGUAAACCUGAGGUACAGUGAAUGAAUCAUGAUGUGCUGCAGUCUCAAUAUUUAGCCUCAAUAUUAAUGUAUUUUCAUGACAGUGGGGUGAUGGUGGUAGUUUUUGCUUAUUAGGAUGACUGACCCAGAUUUGAAUGAUAAGAUUUUGAGAAGAAAACCUAAUUUAAAAAGAUGCAGCCAGUGAUAUAUCGAAGUUAGCUGCUAUGGCUCCUUAUUGGUAAAACUGGGGGACUUUUCAAGCCAGUUAAAGCAGUGAAGAUUUUGAGAUCAGCAUUGGUGAGAGAAUUUAUACCAUGGAAAUUAACAAAUACAGUAAUCAAGGCUUUCUUUUCCUUUUCUUUCCUUCUUUUAUUGUUUAGAAAGCCAACGGUUAAACAUUUACCAACAGACAACUGGACACAAUCUCCCCAAAAGCUUGCAAUCCAGAUCAGUGUCAAUUUUGAUUAACAACAGAGGAAAUACAAGGCACCUAGUAUAUCCAUUUCCUCUCCUCCCUGUUUGAGAGGUAAUCUUCACCAUCCACAAGUCUAGAUUACCACAGGUAAUAAGAUCUGGCUUACCUAAGGAACCUGAUACCAUGCAGAGCUGAGAAAUAUCGAAAAAGAGUUAAAAUGAAGUGUGGAACAGUUAUGCAUAUCAAGCACCACUUAUUUUAGUUGAACACACAUACUUUAUUAAGAAUGAACAAAAGAAGAAAAAAAGUCAUCACUUUUCCUCUAGUUAAUAAUGAAUCUCCCUUUCCCUGUUUCGAAAUGCUUUUUGUUCAGUGAAAUUCAGAAGCUAUUUAAAAAAAAAAAAAAUCCCAAUACAGCUUUUCCAUCUAGAAGUCUUGUUAAAAGCCCAGGAAUCUUUUCUUGAAUUAAACCUUACUUCAAAAGCAUCAACUGCGGUCUCUGUUUGUCCCUGUGAGGAAGAAUUAAACACUGCAGAGCUAAGAUCCCAGAGUGAUUCUUCUUUUUUUCUGCCUCAAACAAAUUUUCUUUCAGGGCAACCCCAUGGACAAGCAGCCCAUGAAGAAGGCUUAGGAAGAAAGGCUUUUGCAUUCUGUACAUAUGUUAAGGAUCUGAGCAUUCCAAGAUUUAGGUGAUGGCUUCUUGCUGUGGGGAUUUGCAUUCUCUGGCAUUAGUCAAGGUCAAAGUACAGAGCCUUUGUGUGCAUUCUAAGCCCUUUCAAAUAUGUGUUCACCCCCUGGUGUGAUGCAUUAAAAAAAGAUACCUUAUUCAGAAUCGA